rnacentral:rRNA from 1 species
UACGGAGGGUGCAAGCGUUAUCCGGAUUCACUGGGUUUAAAGGGUGCGUAGGCGGGUCUUUAAGUCAGUGGUGAAAGCCCGGAGCUCAACUCCGGAACUGCCAUUGAAACUGUAAGACUUGAGGAUGAGAGAGGUGAGUGGAAUUCCCAGUGUAGAGGUGAAAUUCGUAGAUAUUGGGAAGAACACCGGUGGCGAAGGCGGCUCACUGGCUCAUAUCUGACGCUCAGGCGCGACAGCGUGGGGAUCAAACAGG